rnacentral:rRNA from 1 species
CAAUCUUGAAGGAUGUGGUAAUAACUUUUGUAAAACAGGUGAAAUACCCACUGUCUUUAACAGUACCUAUUGAGAAGACUUCUUGAACCAAACCUUCUUCCUUUUUCCCUUUGAUUUUGUUCAAAGUUCCGAUACCUUGGAUAUUUCUACCUUGUCUCACAACGAUUUAGGAGAGUUCAACAUUGGUUGUAUCUAAACGGUCGUCUUAACUCUACGAAGGAGACAUUUUCAUAUAAACUCGUGCGACAUUACUAUGGCACAACGGUCGUAUCAAAGACGUUAUUUACGUAUCAAAAACGAAACCGACUCAAUUUUUUUACAGGUUUCACAAGUAGGUGCUCCACGUGAUGAUUACUAGACAACGGUUUAAACAGUGAAGCAUUCCGGUAGUUUGUAAAAGAACUACUGGGUCCUGGAUAGAUACGUGGACUACAUCCUAGUACACAUCUUCUUUUCCUCAGUAGUACAGGUAACAGCUAAGUGGUUGUUCUUGUUUUGAACGAAACAAGAGGUAGACGGUGACCUUUUCUGAAGUUAGUCGAGUAUGGUUAACAUUUCCACUAACUUUUUUCGAGGUCAUAAUUUUAGACAGAUCUACCUUUAUUUGGUUGACUUUGUCGAAGUUGUGAGGGGGCUCUUCGUGGAUCCUUAAGACUAAAAGUUCCUUCACGUUCGAGGAGUUUCCACAUGGUUUUAUAGCGUGUUCUAUCACCACUGAACGCAUGACAACUUCGGUUUCGUAACUCCUAUUCAAGAACCCUACCUUCUCCUAAAUGGUGUGGUCGCUAUUCCCGUUCUUUCCCACCCGCUUGAACAAUGUCCACGCCCAGAGGUUUAGUGGACUAGUCUAUAACAGGCCAACGUAGUUUACAUGUUAGUCUUCUAUCACGUGAGGUGCCUCUAGGUAUACCAGCUGGAUUAACCGUCCCAAGAUACAAAGUGGGAGAAGACGGUAUACCAUUAUACGUACCGUGUGGACUCUAGUAAGGUAAACUAGGUCCUCAACAGGGCCAGAGUGGAAAACCUCAAGGAGGUAUAUACGGUAGUAAAAUACCUCCGUACGUCUUAGGUAUACGAAAAUACCCUUACUCUCCAUACGGCAGAGGUUACGAUGACCCCCAUGUUGAUGGGAACAGUAUAUGUCCUAACCCAUAAGUACUAUUACAAUUCUCAGUCUUACGAGGUUCACUUUCCCCUCACUCCCUCUUACUGAUACUGUCAUUAAGUCGCCUAAUAGUACUACUCCUACCAUCUUGUAGUGUUCUCGUUAUAGUUGGUCUUUUCUCAAUACUUUCCCCAAUGGUACUUUCAUUGUGUUGUCAAGUUUUUUCCGUGGUGUUCCUAUUUAUAACAUCGGGAUGGGUACUCUUAGACACAAUAAGUAGUCUACAGCUUAAUCAACUAGUCUUUGUAGCUUUCCUUAACCCGAGUAUACCUUCUCUUUACUCCUCGGUGAUGUGGUUCGUUAGAUGAAGGCUUCACGUACUGUAGGGAUUGUAGAGAUAGGUGCUAUGAUCCGUCUACUUGUUCGUCGUACUAUCUUCACGAAGUCCUUUUUCUCUACUUUAAUCCCGUUUUCCGUUUUCACUCAUGUGACUUUUAUGAGCAGUAGUUUCAGUAUUUCUUUUAUAAGCGCACCUAUCCAGUCUACUGUCCCGUGUUUAGAUCAUUUUUGCGUAUACCUGUAUUUGUAGCCCAGGUCCUUUGACUAAUGCGCUGACUGAUGUCUGCACUAUCGUUCUAUCUUUCUAGAUCGGUCUCAAGUUCUGUACUGUUUUGUUUUCAGCCAAGAAGUCAACCGGUGCAUCCUUCCCUAUCUACCCGCUACCUUCUACCGGCAGGUCUACUAAUACUUUCUUCCCUAGUGAUGGCAGUGUUUUGUUUCUCUUCCGUAAUUUCUUACAUGCACUACCAAACAGACACGAGGUAAACGUCGUUCGUUUUCUUCUUUUUUAUAGGCAUACUUGUUUUUGUAAAACGUCACAGUUGACACAACACAGGUUCUCAAAACCGAAUAGGACUUGAAAAUAGCAGACUUCAGCACAUUUAGGACAAUGUAACAACAAUAAUCGACAUUUAGAACAAUCCUCAAUGAACUUCCACAUCAAGUUGUAUAAAAGGGUGAAAGACGGUGUUUACAUCCUUACAUGCUGAGAUUGCCACGACUACAUGUUGCGUACUUUUAAAG